AAACACAUCUUCUGUCUAGUCCUGGAGCAUUUUAUUGAACUCAUUUGACUCCAAUUACUACACAAGAAGCUCUUUUGAUGGUGGAGAUUCUGCUUAAUCAUCUUUCCAUUCCCAGUUGCCAGAAAACACCAUCAAUGCUUAAUAAUUCUUUGUUAAAUGAAUGUAUAAAUGUGUGAAUGAAAGUGUACAUGACUGUGCAAUAUAAUUUUUCAAUCACAUUGAAAAACUGAUGUUUAUCAUAUUGUAUGGUAAAGACACAUAGCUUAAAUGUAUUCUGACGUGAUUUAAAUAUUUGACAGUUAUAGGUGUGAUCCUAGGACUCUGGUUAAGUAUUUUAGUAAAUUAAAGGGAAAAUAACAGAUGUUUCAAAGACUUGGUUCUAAGUAACAUUUUUCUGUAAUUGAAUUUUUCUGUCUUCCUCCCUUUUGUUAUUUAUGAUGUAAAUAGCAUAAGUUAAAAGCUGUGCCUACUUUUUAGAAGGAGAAAAGCCCCAAGUUUGAAAUCCAGCUUUGUUCUUUGCAAGUUAUGUGACUUCGGACAAGUACUUUCACUUAAGCUGUAGUUUUCUUGAUGUAAAGAGCAUAAUUCAACCAUAAUGACAGUUGUGUAAAUGGAACGAGGUCCCUUCUACAAACUAACUCACAUACAAGAGUAGUCUCAAUACAUGUUAAGUUCUUAUUCAUUUUCUUGUACCUCCUACUUAGGAGUUCUUGAGAUUAUCCUAAGUGCCCAAUUACAAAACCCAUGACUUGCUAUUUCUGUUCAUUUUCUUCUUUCUUUCUUUUUUUUUCUUUCUGUAUAAACAAGACACAAUCUAACCUUUGAUUUAUGCUAUUAGUCUAUUAUGUUAUGAGGGAUAGAAUACUGUAACUGGAAAUGUCUUCUUCCCUCAUUUUUAAUUAUUGUUUCACGUCACUUCCCAGGAGGCAAAUCUUCAUCUGAAAAGUGCCUUAAACGCAAGUACCACUGAUAGACAAUAUACAUUAAAUAAGAGGAGCUCCAGAAAAUUCUAUUGCAUCCUUGAUACACAUAGUAAAAUACAGCAUUGUGAUUACCUAUACUUAACUAAUGGAGGAGCAGCAGGUGGAAUGGAUGUAUUAAUCUCUUUAAGAACUGUAAGAGCAGAGCGGUAGCAGACUCAGGGUUUGCCCCAUCCCAUUCUCCCAGUCUAUUCUGCCAGCAAUUUGUACAUUUCUCUACCUCUCUCUGUUCUGCUGUUAAGAUAACUCUGGAAGAGCCAAGAAGUCCCACAUUCUCCUCCACCUGGUUUCCCCUAGGACUGACUAGGUGCAAAGCACAAAAGCUCCCCACCUGUCUCCAGGAGGAACAGACUCCAGGUCUCCCAGGCUGGAUGCAGGGUGUGUUCUCCUCUCCCUCUCCCGUGGGCUUGUCCUGGAAGAUUCUCUUCCCAAAUCCUGGUACUCAAAUCCUGUCUCAAGGUCGGCUUCUGGGGGAACUGAACCUAAGAUGGAGUGUACCAAUGAACUAUAAGAACAGAAAGAGAUGCAGGAAGAUAAAAUUGACCCAACUGAAAAAAAGAGGAAAUGUAGGGGAUUAAAAAAAGAAAGAAGAUAAAAGACUAGAAGUCUAGACAAAGUCACAUUAGAUUGGGUAGAGAGAGGUGAUGGGAGAGGAGGGGAGGGGAAGCGGGGAAAGG
rnacentral:lncRNA from 1 species